ACGAUGGAUACUCGACAUACGCGAUACACUGUGUGUGUCUGAGCGAAAGCAUUAAGUAUCCCACCUGGGAAGUACGACCGCAAGAUUGAAACUCAAAGGAAUGGCGGGGGUCCGCACAAGCGGUGGAGCACGUGGUUUAAUUCGAUGAUACGCGAGGAACCUUACCUGGGCUAGAAUGCAUUUUGACCGUGGGUGAAAGCUCACUUUGUAGCAAUACACAAUUUGUAAGGUGCUGCAUGGCUGUCGUCAG
rnacentral:rRNA from 1 species